ACGAACGCUGGCGGCGUGCUUAACACAUGCAAGUCGAACGGAAAGGCCCUGCUUUUGUGGGGUGCUCGAGUGGCGAACGGGUGAGUAACACGUGAGUAACCUGCCCUUGACUUUGGGAUAACUUCAGGAAACUGGGGCUAAUACCGGAUAGGAGCUCCUGCUGCAUGGUGGGGGUUGGAAAGUUUCGGCGGUUGGGGAUGGACUCGCGGCUUAUCAGCUUGUUGGUGGGGUAGUGGCUUACCAAGGCUUUGACGGGUAGCCGUCCUGAGAGGGUGACCGGCCACAUUGGGACUGAGAUACGGCCCAGACUCCUACGGGAGGCAGCAGUGGGGAAUAUUGCACAAUGGGCGGAAGCCUGAUGCAGCAACGCCGCGUGCGGGAUGACGGCCUUCGGGUUGUAAACCGCUUUCGCCUGUGACGAAGCGUGAGUGACGGUAAUGGGUAAAGAAGCACCGGCUAACUACGUG
rnacentral:rRNA from 1 species